GAUGAACGCUGGCGGCGUGCCUAAUACAUGCAAGUCGAGCGAACAGACGAGGAGCUUGCUCCUCUGACGUUAGCGGCGGACGGGUGAGUAACACGUGGAUAACCUACCUAUAAGACUGGGAUAACUUCGGGAAACCGGAGCUAAUACCGGAUAAUAUAUUGAACCGCAUGGUUCCAUAGUGAAAGACGGUUUUGCUGUCACUUAUAGAUGGAUCCGCGCCGCAUUAGCUAGUUGGUAAGGUAACGGCUUACCAAGGCAACGAUGCGUAGCCGACCUGAGAGAGUGAUCGGCCACACUGGAACUGAGACACGGUCCAGACUCCUACGAGAGGCAGCAGUAGGGAAUCUGCCGCAAUGGGCGAAAGCCUGACGGAGCAACGCCGCGUGAGUGAUGAAGGUCUUCGGAUCGUAAAACUCUGUUAUUAGGGAAGAACAAAUGUGUAAGUAACUAUGCACGACUUGACGGUACCUAAUCAGAAAGCCACGGCUAACUACGUG
rnacentral:rRNA from 1 species